GGCUUUGCACAGCAGCAGUAUUGUAGCCAAUGAGGUUUAUCCAAGGUGCAAUUACUGCCAAUUGAAAACUCUUUCCAGUAUCCCACCAUGAUUACUUGAAAUAGAGUUGGCAUUGGCAAUUUUUGACAGUCUCUGUGCAGA